GACCUCGUCCGUGGAGAGACUACCCGCCAAAUUUAAGCAUAUUAAUAAGCGGAGGAAAAGAAACCAACCGGGAUUCCCUGAGUAAGGGCGACUGAAAGGGGAUGAGCCCAGCGCAUAACCUUGCGGUCGUUUUUUGGCCGUCGAGGGGUGUUGCGUUUCGGUGGAUCCGUACCGCUCGAAUUGCUGACCGCCUAAGUCAUUGCUUGAAUGCAGCCCCAAGGAGGGUGGUAGGCCCGUGUGGCGGCGCCUGUAAAAAGGUUUGGAAGCAAUUUGGGCGGAGGGAUGUUUACCGUAGAGUCGGGUUGCUUAGUACUGCAGCCCUAAGUAGGUGGUAAACUCCAUCUAAGGCUAAAUA
rnacentral:rRNA from 1 species